rnacentral:rRNA from 1 species
AUUGAACGCUGGCGGCAGGCCUAACACAUGCAAGUCGAGCGAGCGGCGGACGGGUGAGUAAUGUCUGGGGAACUGCCUGAUGGAGGGGGAUAACUACUGGAAACGGUAGCUAAUACCGCAUACCAUCAGAUGUACCCAGAUGGGAUUAGCUUGUAGGUGAGGUAACGGCUCACCAAGGCGACGAUCCCUAGCUGGUCUGAGAGGAUGACCAGCCAAACUGGGACUGAGACACGGCCCAGACUCCUACGGGAGGCAGCAGUGGGGAAUAUUGCACAAUGGGCGCAAGCCUGAUGCAGCCAUGCCGCGUGUAUGAAGAAGGCCUUCGGGUUGUAAAGUACUUUCAGUCGGGAGGCGUUACCGACAGAAGAAGCACCGGCUAACUCCGUGCCAGCAGCCGCGGUAAUAC